rnacentral:rRNA from 1 species
CUAUGCGCCUUGCCAGCCCGCUCAGGUGUGCCAGCCGCCGCGGUAAUACGUAGGUGGCGAGCGUUAUCCGGAAUGAUUGGGCGUAAAGGGUGCGCAGGCGGUCCUGCAAGUCUGGAGUGAAACGCAUGAGCUCAACUCAUGCAUGGCUUUGGAAACUGGAGGACUGGAGAGCAGGAGAGGGCGGUGGAACUCCAUGUGUAGCGGUAAAAUGCGUAGAUAUAUGGAAGAACACCAGUGGCGAAGGCGGCCGCCUGGCCUGUUGCUGACGCUGAGGCACGAAAGCGUGGGAGCAAAUAGG